rnacentral:tRNA from 1 species
GUGAAUAUAGCUCAGUUGGUUAGAGCGCCAGAUUGUGGCUCUGGAGGUCGUGGGUUCGACUCCCAUUAUUCACCCCA